CUUCUUGACAUGGAUUUCUUGGGAAAUAAGCAUGGUUCCUUUCAAAGGAUUCAUGAUAUCUUUUGUUUCGUUAUGCAAGGGGGCCUACAAGAUUUGGGACGUGUUACUAAAUUAUUGAACAGAUGUGGGCACGUCUUCUUUGAGGCCCCAUCCAAAAGUCUAUAUCAUUGAAUCUAGCUGGUCUCAUGGUUCAAAGAUGAGGCCCACAUCCAACGCAAAAGGUCACAAACUUGGAAUGAAUGGGGAACUACAAGAUACCAAACCACGU
rnacentral:lncRNA from 1 species